GCAAACUUGGUCAUUUAGAGGAAGUAAAAGUCGUAACAAGGUUUCCGUAGGUGAACCUGCGGAAGGAUCAUUAUUGAAUUCAUGGAUUUUGAGUUGUUGCUGGCUUUGAAAAGCAUGUGUGCACACUCAUUUUCUUCUCUCCUCACACCACAUGUGCACCCGUGUAGUCCCAAACCUGUUUCAAAUCCACUUAUCGGUUUUGGAAUUGAGAAAUUGCAGCUCGGAUGGCAACAUCUGUCUCUGCUUUUCUUGCUUUUGGUCCUACGACUUUUUUAUUUUAACAUCUCAUGUGAUAACAAAAGACAGAAAACCAUUGAAAUACAAUACAACUUUCAACAACGGAUCUCUUGGCUCUCGCAUCGAUGAAGAACGCAGC
rnacentral:misc_RNA from 1 species